rnacentral:rRNA from 1 species
AUUGAACGCUGGCGGCAGGCCUAACCCCUGCAAGUAGAACGAGUGGCGGACGAGUGAGUAAUGUCUGGGAAACUGCCCGAUGGAGAGGGCAAAAUACUGGAAACGGUGGCUAAUACCGCAUCCCAUCGGAUGUGCCCAGAUGGGAUUAGCUGGUAGGGGAGGUAACGUCUCACCUAGGAGACGAUCCCUAUCUGGUCUGAGAGGAUGACCAGUCACACUGGAACGGAGACACGGUCCAGACUCCUACGUGAGGCAGCAGUGGUGAAGAUUGAACAAUGGGCGCAAGCCUGAUGCAGCCAUGCCGCGUGUAUGAAGAAGGUCUUCGGGUUGUAAAGUACUUUCAGCGGGGAGGCGUUACCCGCAGAAUAAGCACCGGCUAACUCCGUGCCAGCCGCCGCGGUAAUUC